AAUCAGUUUUCUAAAGUGUCUAAUGAUGAAUUUCAUAGGGCAGAUUCUGAGAUGAAAAAGUAAUUCAUCACUGAUUCUUAUACUGUGAAGUCUGAAGACACUUGAGAACCU